rnacentral:rRNA from 1 species
GACAGAGGGUGCAAACGUUGCUCGGAAUCACUGGGCGUAAAGGGCGUGUAGGCGGGAAGGUAAGUCGGGUGUGAAAUCCCCAGGCUUAACCUGGGAACUGCAUUCGAGACUGCAUUGCUAGAGUAUGGGAGAGGGAAGUGGAAUUUCCGGUGUAGCGGUGAAAUGCGUAGAUAUCGGAAGGAACAUCAGUGGCGAAAGCGACUUCCUGGACCAAUACUGACGCUCAUGUGCGAAAGCGUGGGGAGCAAACAGG